AUACGUAGGGGGCGAGCGUUGUCCGGAAUGAUUGGGCGUAAAGGGCGCGUAGGCGGCCCGGUAAGUCUGGAGUGAAAGUCCUGUUUUUAAGAUGGGAAUUGCUUUGGAUACUGUCGGGCUUGAGUGCAGGAGAGGUAAGUGGAAUUCCCAGUGUAGCGGUGAAAUGCGUAGAGAUUGGGAGGAACACCAGUGGCGAAGGCGACUUACUGGACUGUAACUGACGCUGAGGCGCGAAAGUGUGGGGAGCAAACAGGAUUAGAUACCCUGGUAGUCCACACUGUAAACGAUGAAUGCUAGGUGUAGGGGGUAUCGACCCUUUCUGUGCCGCAGUCAACACAAUAAGCAUUCCGCCUGGGGAGUACGGCCGCAAGGUUGAAACUCAAAUGAAUUGACGGGG
rnacentral:rRNA from 1 species